AUCCCGGCGACGACUGAGGAGGAGAACAAGGACCACCGGCCCCUAAGGGCUGACGAGAACCAACACCUUCAAGCCGCCAUGGAGCUCCCAUCCCUCCCCUGGAGUGCGUCAAGCCGUUCAAGAGGUUCGUGCUGAUCGGGUGGGUGGCCCUGGUGAACUACGGCAAGGACUACGGCUGCCUCGUCGUCAUCGUCGACGUUGUUGACCAGAACAGGCUGCAUUGAUCUGUUAUACACUUAUACCACUGUUUCUUGGUAUAUCCCCAAGAACGUCGAGGACACGGUCCACCGCGAGGUCGAGAUCAUGCAACACCUCUCGGGCCACCCCGCCGUCGUCACGCUGAAGGCCGUCUGCGGUGGUUGCAAAUUGAAGCUGAAAGGGACAAGGCGAUUGGGAGUCAGGGACUACAUAUCCCUCCUCUCCUUGAUUUUCUGUCCAAAAUAUAAGGAAGACGUAUGGGUUCUCGUCAAAUGCAAGCUGUACUACUGUGAAAAAGUGUACUAAUUUUUGCAGUGCAUUAACUUCAAAGAGACAACAUGGGGUGGAGAUGCAGGUCGUCAGUACACUGAAGGCGUUGCGUUCUGUCAGGGCAUUGGGUUCGAUGCAGAGCAUCGGAGACGUUGCCGUUGUCCUUGCACGACUCAUCAGAUCCAACCUCGGGCCCGCGCCAGCUAUGUACGGAGCCCUCGAUACGGUGCUCAGUCUCUGCAACUGCAACUCGAUGCCUUGCAUGAAGCUGCCAGCUAUUGAGGCCCUCUCUUAAUUACCCAGUUCUGAAUGGAGUCAGUUGGGGUCGUCUAUAAAUUUCCUUGUGAUGUGCUUGCAAACCAAGACUUUGUUGAGGCUUUUCUGCGGGGUCAGGGGAGACGCCAGUGAUCAAGCGGCAGCGGCCUACAGCCUGGGAGACCUGCACAAGGGAGCCGCCAAGAUCUCCAACGACAUCCUCGACUCUGUCGGGGUUUCAAUAUAUGCAACAACAAAAAAUUCGACAACAGUAUACGCGACAAAUGGUGCUAUUUGCGUUUGCUGCAAUCUCCUCAUACUUACCAGGGUUGAGUGCCCAACAUUCCCGAAGAUGGCACCCGAGACGUGUCCGCAGCCAGAAGCAGCGAAGUUGCCGUACAAGAAGCUGGGAGAUUCAGAUCUCCUUAUUAGCGGGAUAACUCUUGGAACAAUGAUCUUUGGAUAGCAAAGAACAGAGAAGGAAUCCCAUGAUAUGCUCUCUUAUUAUUUUAAUCAGGGCAUCAACAUACUGGACACCGCAGAAAUUGCCGGCUAGAUAGGUAUGUCGCACGUUACGGUGAAUUCAGUUACAAUUCAACCAAAUGGAGGCCAAGCGUCCCAUGUGUGGAUCAAUGGAAAGCUUUCAGGAACUAAUUGGUAAAGGGAAGGUACAAUAUAUCGGUGUUUCCAAUGAAACCACGUACGGAGUAAUGCAGUUUGUACAUGCUGCAAAGCUUGAUGGACUUCCAAAGAUUAUGAGCAUCUAGAAUGGUUAUAGUCAACUUGUGAGAUGCAGCUUCGAAGGUGAAACAGAGAUGUCAGCCAUAAUUUAUUCAUUUUCAUUCACUGGAAUUCCAUGCCAUCCCUGUUGUUCUGAAACUUAUUUGCAGACAUGUAAUUUAGAGAAAGAGGGAGGAAAGAACUCCUCGGUUGUAGUUCAGAUCAUCGGCCUGCUGUCAUCUCUUUCAUAAUUAAAAUUUUAGUCGAAUAGUCUUGGCUUCUUAUUAGGUUUUUGGAGUUAUGUUCAGUGCUUAUCAUUCAUCAUCAUCACGAGAUGAUUUCAUUUUGUGGAUGCUUGAGUUUAGAAAAUUUAGGCUCUGCAGUCCAUCAUCUCUAUAGGUAUAAGUCUUUGUAGGAUGUAAGACUGCUACUCUAUGUUCAUAUAAGCCUACCUAUUAAUAAUAUUUCCGAUUUAUUUUAUAAA